UACAGAGGGUGCGAGCGUUAAUCGGAAUUAUUGGGCGUAAAGAGCUCGUAGGCGGUCUGUCACGUCGGCUGUGAAAUCCCGAGGCUCAACCUCGGGUCUGCAGUCGAUACGGGGCAAACUAGAGUAUUGCAGGGGGAGACUGGAAAUUCCUGGUGUAGCGGUGAAAUGCGCAGAUAUCAGGAGGAACACCGGUGGCGAAGGCGGGUCUCUGGGCAAUAACUGACGCUGGAGGAGCGAAAAGCGUGGGGAGCGAACAGG
rnacentral:rRNA from 1 species